rnacentral:rRNA from 1 species
ACUGUUGGGACCGCUCUGCUAAAGAGGAGGAAGGAAUGGGCAACGGUAGGUCAGCAUGCCCCGAAUUAUCUGGGCUACACGCGGGCUACAAUGGGUGGGACAAUGGGUAUCGACACCGAAAGGUGAAGGCAAUCUCCUAAACCCAUCCUUAGUUCGGAUUGUGGGCUGCAACUCGCCCACAUGAAGCUGGAAUCUGUAGUAAUCGUGUCUCAAAAUGGCACGGUGAAUAUGUCCCUGCUCCUU